ACAAUUCAUAACAUUACUGUGUGAAAAUAGGCAAUGGGAUUCACAGAAACUAGAUACUAACAGUCUGUGUUUUACCACUUUUCAAUAUUAUGUGCGUCUCAUAUUCAUUAGUAAAGAGAGACUGAGAUCAGAUAUUGUUUGGCUAAAUGUAUUUAGUUAUUAUCUUCCUUUUUCUAUAAUUGUUCCUUCUAUAACACAUUUUCAUUAAGUAUUUAAAGUUAAACUGCACUUGCAGCAAGUACAGUAUGUAUUGUACAACAUUGUAACAAAUUUGUGUAUUUUCCCAGAUUGCACUAAGGGAUACCCGUCCUGUGCAGCUACAAAGCUGCCAGUGUACCUGUGUGGCUGGUGCAGCCUUGUGCAACCAUGUGGCAGCACUAUUAUACCAGACUGCACACUAUUCUCAGCUCAACAUCACCACUGUCCCCCCAGUGCACAGCUGCACAGAGACAGAACAGCAGUGGCAUAAACCAAGAACCAUGGGUGUUAAACCUGGUCCUGUAAAUGAAAUGGUCAUCCUUUCAGCCAGACCCAAGGAAAGAAGACUUACACAGGGAGUCAGGAGCAACUUAUAUAAAGGAGUCAGGGCGCGGUCACACUGGCCAUCCGUACCGUGCUCAAGCACGCUUCAACCCUAAAGUCCAGUUCAUUUGACCAG